rnacentral:tRNA from 1 species
AGUGUUUCUGGCACGCUUGCGCGAACUCGGUCAGCAGCCGGGUCUGGAUGGCUACGUCCAGGCUGGGUUCGGCCCGCAGGAACGCCUC